rnacentral:misc_RNA from 1 species
CACCCCAAAUAUUGAAAAUUACGGCCUUCCACUACUGUUACUGUUACCGGAGCCUUCACCGUUACGCUGCUGAUGAGAAGUAGAGAAACUGGAGGACAAAUCGGAGUAAAGCGAGACAACUUUGGAGAUAUUACCAUUAAGUUCCUGAAUCAACGCAACGUUUUUGACCAUGUUGUCGGGGACUCUAGACUGGUGAUUCUCGUUCACUUGUUGGAUCAAAUUUCUGUU